rnacentral:lncRNA from 1 species
ACCAAGGAAGAUGGUAAAAUCAAGGAAUUGAUUGAUCUUGUGAUCUUGCUCUUCCGAUGCCUAAUUUUUCUCGGGAUCGACUUCAAAUCUCCACAAAAAUUCAUCACAAAUACGUCUCCCGAGCUCUGAUUAAAGUAAAUGGAUUCAAGAGCUUGAAGAAAUACCUGGAUUUACGAUUUGGGUGUCUUCUUGCGAUCAAAAACUAGGGAGCUGGAUACCAUCUGCCGGGACUUAGAACUGGAUCAUUGGAAGGAGAAAUAUGGCCCAGAAAAAUAGUAAAUGGGAUUGAUCGAAUGGUGGAGAGAGCCAGCGAGAGAUUUAUUUUUGUUGUUUCGGUUGAAAGAUCGCUUUCUCUUCUCUUUUCCUUCUUCUCCGUGAGUUAGAGAGAGAGAAAGUUGGGACACGAGUCUCCCGCUGGUAAUGGAUAGAGACAAAAGGCGGCCUUACAGAGAGAGGGAGAGACGGCUGGAAGUAAGAGAGAGAGGAGGGGGAGAGGGAGGAGGAGGGGGGUUAUACAUUAUAUAGCAAGCCCCGCUUCUAAGUUUGGAAAUUGGAAAAUAAAAGAAAUUUUAUUAGCUGUAAA